rnacentral:rRNA from 1 species
GCCUGCAGUGGGUACGGGCAGACUUGAGUGCGGUAGGGGAGAAUGGAAUUUCCUGGUGUAGCGGUGGAAUGCGCAGAUAUCAGGAGGAACACCGAUGGCGAAGGCAGUUCUCUGGGCCGUAACUGACGCUGAGGAGCGAAAGCGUGGGGAGCGAACAGGAUUAGAUACCCUGGUAGUCCACGCCGUAAACGUUGGGCGCUAGAUGUGGGGACCUUUCCACGGUUUCCGUGUCGUAGCUAACGCAUUAAGCGCCCCGCCUGGGGAGUACGGCCGCAAGGCUAAAACUCAAAGGAAUUGACGGGGGCCCGCACAAGCGGCGGAGCAUGCGGAUUAAUUCGAUGCAACGCGAAGAACCUUACCAAGGCUUGACAUACACGAGAACGGGCCAGAAAUGGUCAACUCUUUGGACACUCGUGAACAGGUGGUGCAUGGUUGUCGUCAGCUCGUGUCGUGAGAUGUUGGGUUAAGUCCCGCAACGAGCGCAACCCUCGUCGCAUGUUGCCAGCACGUAAUGGUGGGAACUCAUGUGAGACUGCCGGGGUCAACUCGGAGGAAGGUGGGGAUGACGUCAAAUCAUCAUGCCCCUUAUGUCUUGGGCUUCACGCAUGCUACAAUGGCCGGUACAAAGGGCUGCGAUGUCGUAAGGCGGAGCGAAUCCCAAAAAGCCGGUCUCAGUUCGGAUCGAGGUCUGCAACUCGACCUCAUGAAGUCGGAGUCGCUAGUAAUCGCAGAUCAGCAACGCUGCGGUGAAUACGUUCCCGGGCCCUGUACACACC